rnacentral:rRNA from 1 species
UAAUACAUAUGUGGCAAGCGUUGUUCGGAAUUACUGGGCUUAAAGAGUUCGUAGGCGGUUUGGCCAGUCGGAUGUGAAAUCCCUCAGCUUACCUGAGGAACUGCAUCCGAUACUGCCAAGCUGGAGUCCUUGAGGGGAAAGUGGAAUUCCAGGUGUAGCGGUGAAAUGCGUAGAUAUCUGGGAGAACGCCAAUGGCGAAGGCAGCUUUCUGGUGAGUGACUGACGCUGAGGAACGAAAGUUAGGGUAUCGAACGGGAUUAGAUACCCCGGUAGUCCUAACCGUAAACGGUGAGCACUGUGUGUUGGCAGUUUCUGAGCUGUCGAUGCAGUAGCGAAAGCGUUAAGUACUCCGCCUGGGUAGUACGAUCGCAAGGUUG